AACCUCCGCAAUGUGAGAAAUCGCGACGGGGGGAUCCCAAGUGCCAUUCUUAACGGGAUGGCUUUUCAUUAGUGUAAAGAGCUUUUGGAAUAAGGGCUGGGCAAGACCGGUGCCAGCCGCCGCGGUAACACCGGCAGCUCUAGUGGUAGCAGUUUUUAUUGGGCCUAAAGCGUCCGUAGCCGGUUUAAUAAGUCUCUGGUGAAAUCCUGUAGCUUAACUGUGGGAAUUGCUGGAGAUACUAUUAGACUUGAGACCGGGAGAGGUUAGAGGUACUCCCAGGGUAGAGGUGAAGUUCUGUAAUCCUGGGAGGACCGCCUGUUGCGAAGGCGUCUAACUGGAACGGUUCUGACGGUGAGGGACGAAAGUUAGGGGCGCGAACCGGAUUAGAUACCCGGGUAGUCCUAACUGUAAACGAUGCGGACUUGGUGUUGGGGUGGCUUUGAGCUGCUCCAGUGCCGAAGGGAAGCUGUUAAGUCCGCCGCCUGGGAAGUACGGUCGCAAGACUGAAACUUAAAGGAAUU
rnacentral:rRNA from 1 species